rnacentral:rRNA from 1 species
GCAGCCGCGGUAAUACGUAGGUUGCAAGCGUUGUCCGGAAUUACUGGGUGUAAAGGGCGUGUAGGCGGAGAUGCAAGUCGGGAGUGAAAUCCAUGGGCUCAACCCAUGAACUGCUUUCGAAACUGUAUCCCUUGAGUAUCGGAGAGGCAAGCGGAAUUCCUAGUGUAGCGGUGAAAUGCGUAGAUAUUAGGAGGAACACCAGUGGCGAAGGCGGCUUGCUGGACGACAACUGACGCUGAGGCGCGAAAGCGUGGGGAGCAAACAGGAUUAGAUACCCC